CAGUAGAACGCUGAAGGAAGGAGCUUGCUCUUUCCGGAUGAGUUGCCAUUGGGUGAGUAACGCGUAGGUAACCUGCCUGGUAGUGGGGGAUAACUAUUGGAAACGAUAGCUAAUACCGCAUAAUAGUAGAUGUUGCAUGAUAUUUGCUUAAAAGGUGCAAUUGCAUCACUACCAGAUGGACCUGCGUUGUAUUAGCUAGUUGGUGAGGUAACGGCUCACCAAGGCAACGAUACAUAGCCGACCUGAGAGGGUGAUCGGCCACACUGGGACUGAGACACGGCCCAGACUCCUACGGGAGGCAGCAGUAGGGAAUCUUCGGCAAUGGACGGAAGUCUGACCGAGCAACGCCGCGUGAGUGAAGAAGGUUUUCGGAUCGUAAAGCUCUGUUGUAAGAGAAGAACGAGUGUGAGAGUGGAAAGUUCACACUGUGACGGUAUCUUACCAGAAAGGGACGGCUAACUACGUGCCAGCAGCCGCGGUAAUACGUAGGUCCCGAGCGUUGUCCGGAUUUAUUGGGCGUAAAGCGAGCGCAGGCGGUUAGAUAAGUCUGAAGUUAAAGGCUGUGGCUUAACCAUAGUACGCUUUGGAAACUGUUUAACUUGAGUGCAAGAGGGGAGAGUGGAAUUCCAUGUGUAGCGGUGAAAUGCGUAGAUAUAUGGAGGAACACCGGUGGCGAAAGCGGCUCUCUGGCUUGUAACUGACGCUGAGGCUCGAAAGCGUGGGG
rnacentral:rRNA from 1 species